UACAUCUUUUUGUGGGCGAGGGAUGCGAACUAUUUCUUUAUUCUUACGCUCGGUUGUAUUGUGUGUAACUGGGAGGGAAGAGUGGGGAUUGGAAUAGAAUCUCCUUCCGUUAGUCUGUGAAAGGAUCAGAUAGAGAAGAAGAAGCUUUUUCAUUGGCCGCCUCUUGUAGGGUUGAAGCCACCAUUUUCCCACGCUUCUCUACUCAGUUUUCCUCCCAAAACCCUAAUACUCUUCCCAGUUUCAAGAUCCCAAUCUUGGGUUUUUUCGUUUUAAUCUCAAAACUCCCGAAUUUCGUGACGGUAGCCUCAAAUUUGAAUCUCAACUGAUGCGGAUGCUUUAUUGGUGGCUCGAGCUAAAGAAUGUGCCUGUGCCUUUGUGGUUCUUUUAACAACAGUCACCGUUGUACUAGAAUACAAUUCUAGUUUUAUAGGAUUUGAGAUGUAUGGUCAAACAAAUUAUGCUUCACAGUUCGGCCAGGGUCCUCAGAAACCGUGGCCACCUGCAUACCAACAGCGUGCAGGAGCACCUCCUCCUCCGCCUCCUCCUCCUACCUCAUAUGUUCAACCAGGCCCACCAAUCCCAUCACAUCCUAUAACUCAACAAGCACCUGCUCCCCCACCUCAGGCUACGCAACCUCUACAUUUAUCUCAGCCGGGUUCCCAUGCCCCACCACCUCCCUUCGGUCAGGGCCCAUCCAUUCAAGUGUUACCUGGCGGGAUUACAAAUAUCCGUCAAACAUAUUUUCACACAUUUCCACCAGUCCAUGGAAACACACAACUUUCUGUUUUUAACUCAACUGCUCAGCAGAAUGUACAACUUUCACACUCAGGAGUUCAGAAUAUGCAUCACAUUCUACCUCCGCCGCCGCCACUGCCACCACCACCACCACCUCCACCUCCUCCUGCUCAAGCUCCCAAUCUAGAUAUAUUGCGGCCUCUGCAGCCUUCUACUGUAGGACCGCUUCAUCCUCCUUCACAAGGACAAACAUUGUAUGGAUCUCGAAUUCAUCCACCAUUGCAACAAGGUGGCUUGCAGGUCUUUCCCUCUAUUCCACAACACCCAACAACAUCCACUUUUCCUGCUCCCUCAUCCAAUUUUCUUGGAGAAUCUCAUCUGCUUCCAAUGGCUCCUCCUCCACCACCAUCCUCUCCGCCUCCUAUUCCACCUUCUCCACCCCCUCCCACCUCACCCUCUUCUUCAAUUCCAUACCCAGAUUCUUCCAGCUUAUCGUGUCGGUCUGAAUUAGAUCCUAGUUCUACCAUUCAUUAUAGUAAAGGCUUGCAGCCCUCUGAAAUUGAUCAAGGAGAUGCACCUACCAGUCAUUUAGGGGAUAAUGAACCCAAGCAUGACGAACAUAGAAACUUAGAAGUUGGUUGCGGCCUCAUGGUUUCUGAAGUGGACAAUGAGAUAUUGUCAGAUAAAGAUUAUGUGGCAUCCAAAAAUAUAGAAAUGAAAAAAAAGUCUCCAUUGAGAUAUUUAAGAAUUGAGCCACAAUCUGAGAAUUUGACAGUGUCAGCAGCUUCCAUUUCACCUGCAAACUCUGACAUGGAGAUGGAAGAUGACAUCACUGUAGCCGAUACAGGAGAGGAAACUAGUCACCCGUUUGAAAUUCAAAGCUACGAGUGCAAAUCAAGAAAAGAAGAGCAUGAUGCAAAGGAUCAGGUACAAUUACAAGAACCUGAAGUUUUGAGAAGCUGCAGCCCCGAAAAGGAGAAGGUAGCUGAAGAUGCAGGGCCAAAACUUCUGCUCGACCAUGAAAAAUCUGUCAGCAUUGCAGCUUGCCAAGUUCACAGCCCUGUCAGAAGUACUGCUGGAGUUACUGAACUUCCUCCAGGAAACAAUUUUGAGAACUCUUUUACCUGCUUGCAAAAUGACAAAGGUCUAGCUGGUGAAGUAGCAUCUUCUGCAGUCACUAUUUCUAGUCAGUCUACUGCACUUAUUACAGGUGGCAGCCCAUUUAGACUUAUACAGGACUAUGCUUCCGAUGAGAAUUCAGAAAGUGACGAGGAUUCUCACCAUAAAGAUGUCCAUUUUGUUGCCAUCUCACCUUCAACUCCAGCUUAUUCAAAAACUUCCGACAAAGACACUGACAAUUCGACUAUUCUUGGAUCAAAAGGUUCUUUGCAGGUUCAGUGGAGUUAUGUUCCACCUUGUGAAUCCUCAAUGCCUGAAUCUGGUGCUCAGUUCCUCUCAGAAUCACCAAAACAGGUUUUUGAUGCUAAUGAGGCAAAUGUCAGAAAGACAGGGAAUGAACAGAGUUACAACAACCAACAGAAUCAAAUUGGUACAAGCACUGGUUCCAAGUCUUUGGAUGCAAUCAACGGUCGUAGUGUUGAUGUUCCCCAAGAUACUGAAAAGUUACAAAAGGAAAAUGAUGUAGAAAAGGUGAAGUUGGGAUCAUCUCCUGUAAAAAUAGAUGAAUUUGGGAGAUUAGUCAGAGAAGGUGGCAGUGAUAGUGAUUCUGAUGAUUCACACUAUACAAGGAGACACAAGAAUAAAAGAUCUAGAAAUAGUAGUGAAAGUCGUUCUCCUGUUGAUAGGAGGAGGGGACGAAGGAGUCCACGGAGAAGAAGGGAGAGACGAAGCCGUUCUCACAGUUGGUCUCCUCGUAACCAAAGAGGCAGAAGCAGGUCUCCUGUCAGCAGGCGUACAAGCCAGUUUAAUAAUGAGAAUAUGCGACGAGAUAAGGGUAUGAUACGAAAAUGUUUCGACUUUCAGCGAGGUAGGUGCUAUAGAGGAGCAUCUUGUCGCUAUGUGCACCAUGAACCCAACAAGAACGAUGGAUCAAGAAUCCAUAGGAGCAAACAUCAUGAUGUUCACCCUACUUCCAAGAAUGUAAAAACAAGAGAGGACACUAUGAACAUGUCUAGGGAAGUAUCAGAUCUUGGGCAUAUGGAAGUUGAGAAUCAGGAGAGAAUCCCGCAUAAAGUGUCCCCGAAAGUUGAUACUCAUGAUUGGAAGACAGAUAGUCCUACUGGUGAUCCAGAUUCAUUUGGAUCUAAAUGUCAAAGUUUUAGAGAUAGAAUGGGCUUAGUUCAAGAAGAAUUAAUUUAUUCAAAACCAGCUGAGGCUGUCCACAUUCAUGUUAAUGAAGAUGGUCAAGAAGGAGAGAAGUCUCACGAGCAACAUUCAGUUACAGCCUCCUCACAAUGCAUGAGCAAUGCUGAUAUGGAGAAAUUCUCUGGUGAUGUUUCCAUUAGCAUUCUGACUUCUGUAGAGAAGUCAGUGGCUCAGCAAUCCAGCAUCUUUGUUGCAGAGCUUCGAACUGCCAAUGACCUCUCGCACCAGAUGGAUGCUUCUUUUGCCUCCAAUUUACUACCUGAUCAACUAACUGCAGUUACCGCCAAUAAAGCUCCUGCAUGUGAACAUUUUACGGAUAAAACUUCAUCCAAUAAGCCACAGUUUGAUACCAAUUCUGCUAUUCAGCUACCUUUGACCUCACAAAUUUUAUCACUGUCUCCAGUACCGAAACCAUUAUCUGCUACUGCUCCAGUUUGUGCUACUGAUGAUGCCCAUUCUCUUACAGAGCUGCCUCCUCCGCCUCCUCUCAUAAUUUCACGUGUCAGUAGUGCUGAGGUCCCAAUACCUGCCCCCUAUAAUUUUGUGUCUCAAAAUGUGUCCUUUCCUUCUAAAGCUUCAUUACCAGGAGGUUUUCCUCCUCAUCAAGAUUUGGUAUCCAUUCAACCAUCUCACUAUCACAAGACCUCUUUACUGCCGCCGAAACCAUCGUAUGACUUGUUGACUCCUGUAACUACCAAUGCCAGUAUGCCAAUGCAAUUUCAUCAGAGUCAUUUGUCUCAUGGAUAUGAUCUGGGUUCUCAAUCUGUUAUGAAUUCCCAGCCAUUGGAGUUGCAUUCUCAUUCUAAGCUUGGCGAGUCCCCAGUCCAAGAGCCUUAUAGAGCUCCUCCAAUGCACAUGGAUGAAAUUAGAUCAAUUGUGCCAGUUGCAAAUAAUCAACCUACCCGACCUUUUGGAUUUCCAAGCUUUCAGAAUGAAGAAAACUUUGGACGGACUUCUGUGGAGAUGAAUUCUUCCAGUUUUUUCCCUCAUCGAAACUUUAAUGAUCAUUCUAUGCCCAUUUCAAAUGCAAAUAAAAUGCAAUCUUCUGCUGAUAAUUUUCCUCCCAGCGAAUUUCGAAGUUCAUUUUCACAGUUUCAUCCUUAUUCAAGGUUCCAACAGCCAUUGUAUACCUCACAACCUGCACAUGAUAGCAUGUUCCGUGACCCAAGCCAGAUUGGUAGUAUGUCUCGACAUUAUCCCGAUCCUCUAAGCAGGAACCAUCCGCCUUUGCUUCCUGAUUUUGGGGGUUUGGGAAUUACCACUUAUCAUAAUCCUUAUGCUUCUACUUUUGAGAAGCCACUUAGCUCCAGCUUCGGAUCUAACUUUUUGAACUUUGGAAAUGAUGCUCCUAGUGGUGAUAUACGUAGUUCUACUUUCAAUGUAAGCAAUGUUCGCGUUGAUGGGCAAAGUGCUAAUUAUGUUGGAUCUAGGCAGACAACUACUUCUCCAAAUUCCACAAAACCUUUGGGGAAACUCUUGUCUGGUACAGGCGGUGAUCAGUAUGAUCCACUCUUUGACAGCAUUGAGCCAUCAUCACCUAUAACCAAGAAAUCUGAUCGUGGUCAAAAGCUGAAAAAGGCUAAAGAAUCUUAUACGAUAACAAGACUUGGUGGUUCCCAUAAAUUACUAGAUGUGGAGGAGAACAACAAGCAUAAGGAAGUUGCUGCUGUGACUUCAACUACAUCUCUGGAGAAUGAUGAAUUUGGAGAGACAGCAGACGCAGAAGCUGGUGCUGUUGAGAAUGACCUUGACGACGAAGCAAACUUAUCAGGAGAAAUUGAAAUUGAUCAGGUUAAGUCCUCUGAGAAGAGCAAGAAAUCCAAAGGUUCCAGGUCACUGAAGCUUUUCAGGAUUGCUAUUGCCGAUUUUGUCAAGGAAGUUUUAAAACCAUCAUGGCGACAAGGCAAUAUGAGCAAGGAAGCUUUUAAGACAAUUGUCAAGAAGACUGUUGACAAGGUAUCUGGAGCUAUGAAGAGUCACCAAAUACCCAGGUCUCAAGCAAAGAUAAAUCGGUACAUUGAUUCAUCACAACGGAAACUGACAAAGCUUGUUAUGGGUUAUGUUGACAAGUAUGUUAAGACAUAGAACAUGAUGAAAGGUGCAAUCCCAAUGUGGUGGACUAUAUGAAGGCAACAUUAUUAUGGUUGCUUUUCCCCUUGUUGGGUGGAUAUCAGGAAUUAUGCGUUUGUCUUGGACAUCUACAGGGGAUGGAUAGAUGAUAGAUCCAUGGUGGUGGUUGAAAUGUCGGUCAGAGUUAGUCAUGGUCCUGUGGAUACUGAAGAAACGAUGAAGCUUAUAACAUGUUGAGCAUCGUGACAUAAGUUCUUUAACAUAUGAUUCUCAUUAUAUUCCUGAGGUUGCAGCAAAAUAACAUGAAACAACUAAGUGAUGUGAUAUUACUUUGAUCUUUAUGAAAACUCUGUCCAUGCUUCCGGUUUAAGGACCUAUUGAGGAACAUUGCAUCAUCCUUCAACCAUUUAGUGACCAUUGACUUUCUUAGAGUUGCACUUUGCGGUCGUAUUCUCAUUUUAUGGGUACAAGGUAUGUUUAGGAGGAACAAAUUGUAUUAGCACCAAAACACGUUUGCUUUUGUACUUCUGUAGAUUAUUUACUCUAGUAGGAUGAGUAUAUAUGUUCGAAAUUUUGGAAAACUUUAGGUCAUGUCUGUAUAUUCCUUGUGUUAACAAUGACAAGAAAAUGUUACUGUUGAGCUUCUAAAUGGCAAAGAAUUGUUUCAGGAUCUGAAUUAUUUUUA